rnacentral:rRNA from 1 species
AAAUGAAUUGACGGGUGCCCGCACAAGCGGUGGAGCAUGUGGUUUAAUUCGACGCAACGCGAAGAACCUUACCAAGGCUUGACAUGGAAUUGACCGCCCAAGAGAUUGGGCUUCCCUUCGGGGCAAUUCACACAGGUGGUGCAUGGUUGUCGUCAGCUCGUGUCGUGAGAUGUUGGGUUAAGUCCCGCAACGAGCGCAACCCUUAUCUUUAGUAGCUAACGCUUUUGGCGAGCACUCUAGAGAGACUGCCGUGGAUAACACGGAGGAAGGUGGGGAUGACGUCAAAUCAUCAUGCCCUAUAUGCCUUGGGCAACACACGUGCUACAAUGGCUCAUACAAAGUGAAGCGACCGGGCGACCGUGAAGCAAAGCACAAAAAAUGAGUCUCAGUUCGGAUUGUAGUCUGCAACUCGACUAUAUGAAGUUGGAAUCGCUAGUAAUCGCAAAUCAGCAUGUUGCGGUGAAUACGUUCCCGGGCAUUGUACACACCGCCCGU